AUUGAACGCUGGCGGCAUGCCUUACACAUGCAAGUCGAACGGCAGCAUGACGUGUAGCAAUACACGUUGAUGGCGAGUGGCGAACGGGUGAGUAAUAUAUCGGAACGUGCCCUGUAGCGGGGGAUAACCUAUCGAAAGAUGGACUAAUACCGCAUACGCUCUACGGAGGAAAGCGGGGGUCGCAAGACCUCGCACUAUAGGAGCGGCCGAUAUCGGAUUAGCUAGUUGGCGGGGUAAAAGCCCACCAAGGCGACGAUCCGUAGCUGGUCUGAGAGGAUGAUCAGCCACACUGGAACUGAGACACGGUCCAGACUCCUACGGGAGGCAGCAGUGGGGAAUUUUGGACAAUGGGCGCAAGCCUGAUCCAGCCAUGCCGCGUGAGUGAAGAAGGCCUUCGGGUUGUAAAGCUCUUUCGGCAGGAACGAAAUGGUUCGUGCUAAUACCACGGACUGAUGACGGUACCUGAAGAAGAAGCACCGGCUAACUACGUGCCAGCAGCCGCGGUAAUACGUAGGGUGCAGGCGUUAAUCGGAAUUACUGGGCGUAAAGCGUGCGCAGGCGGUUUCUUAAGUCAGAUGUGAAAUCCCCGGGCUUAACCUGGGAACUGCGUUUGAAACUGAGAGACUUGAGUGUGGCAGAGGGGGGCGGAAUUCCACGUGUAGCAGUGAAAUGCGUAGAUAUGUGGAGGAACACCGAUGGCGAAGGCAGCCC
rnacentral:rRNA from 1 species